UACGGAGGGGACUAGCGUUGUUCGGAAUUACUGGGCGUAAGCGCACGUAGGCGGAUUUGUAAGUCAGGGGUGAAAUCUCGGGGCUCAACCCCGAGCGGUCGUGAGAAACUGGCAGGCUAGAGUGCGGGAGAGGAGACUGGAAUUUACGGUGUAGCGGUGAAAUGCGUAGAUAUCGUAAGGAAGACCAGUGGCGAAGGCGGGUCUCUGGACAGUUCCUGACGCUGAGGCACGAAGGUCAGGGGAGCAAACGGG
rnacentral:rRNA from 1 species